UACGGAGGGUGCAAGCGUUAUUCGGAAUUACUGGGCGUAAAGCGCACGUAGGCCGCUUUGUAAGUCAGGGGUGAAAUCCCACGGCUCAACCGUGGAACUGCCCUUGAAACUGCGAAGCUUGAAUCCUGGAGAGGGUGGCGGAAUUCCUGGUGUAGGAGUGAAAUCCGUAGAUAUCAGGAGGAACACCGGUGGCGAAGGCGGCCACCUGGACAGGUAUUGACGCUGAGGUGCGAAAGUGUGGGGAGCAAAC
rnacentral:rRNA from 2 species